rnacentral:rRNA from 1 species
AACGAACGCUGGCGGCAGGCUUAACACAUGCAAGUCGAGCGCCCCGCAAGGGGAGCGGCAGACGGGUGAGUAACGCGUGGGAAUCUACCCAUCUCUACGGAAUAACGCAUGGAAACGUGUGCUAAUACCGUAUACGUCCUUCGGAGAAAGAUUUAUCGGAGAUGGAUGAGCCCGCGUUGGAUUAGCUAGUUGGUGGGGUAAAGGCCUACCAAGGCAACGAUCCAUAGCUGGUCUGAGAGGAUGAUCAGCCACACUGGGACUGAGACACGGCCCAGACUCCUACGGGAGGCAGCAGUGGGGAAUGUUGGACAAUGGGCGCAAGCCUGAUCCAGCCAUGCCGCGUGAGUGAUGAAGGCCCUAGGGUUGUAAAGCUCUUUCACCGGUGAAGAUAAUGACGGUAACCGGAGAAGAAGCCCCGGCUAACUUCGUGCCAGCCGCCGCGGUAAAAC